rnacentral:rRNA from 1 species
GACGAACGCUGGCGGCGUGCUUAACACAUGCAAGUCGAACGGAGUGGCGAACGGGUGAGUAACACGUGGGUGAUCUGCCCUGCACUUCGGGAUAAGCUUGGGAAACUGGGUCUAAUACCGGAUUGUGCAAGAUGAGCUCGCGGCCUAUCAGCUUGUUGGUGGGGUAAUGGCCUACCAAGGCGUCGCCGGGUAGCCGGCCUGGGAGGGUGUACGGGCACAUUGGGACUGAGGUACGGCCCAGACUCCAACGGGAGGCAGCAGUGGGGAAUAUUGCACAAUGGGCGGAAGACUGAUGAAGCGACGCCGCGUGGGGGAUGAAGGCCUUCGGGUUGUAAACUCCUUUAGACAGGGACGCGGUACCUGUAGAAGAAGCACCGGCUAACUACGUGCCAGCAGCCGCGGUAAUAC